GCUGGCGGCGUGCCUAACACAUGCAAGUCGUACGGGCUUGAGGGGCAACUCUCAAGUCAGUGGCGAACGGGUGCGUAACACGUGAGCAACUUGCCCUAUGGUGGGGGAUAGCCGGCCCAACGGCCGGGUAAUACCGCAUAUGGCGCUGAGGUCACAUGGCCUUAGUGGGAAAGCGGCCGCAAGGUCGCGCCAAAGGUGGGGCUCGCGACGUAUCAGCUAGUUGGCGGGGUAACGGCCCACCAAGGCUACGACGCGUAGCUGGUCUGAGAGGAUGGCCAGCCACAUUGGGACUGAGAUACGGCCCAGACUCCUACGGGAGGCAGCAGUGGGGAAUAUUGCGCAAUGGCCGCAAGGCUGACGCAGCGACGCCGCGUGUGGGAUGAAGGCCUUCGGGUUGUAAACCACUGUCGGGGGGGGCGAAUACCUGGCUUCGAAUAGGAGACCAGGGGUGACGGUACCUCCAAAGGAAGCACCGGCUAACUCCGUGCCAGCAGCCGCGGUAAUACGGAGGGUGCGAGCGUUGUCCGGAAUCACUGGGCGUAAAGGGCGCGUAGGCGGCCGUGUAAGUCACUUGUGAAAUCCCGGGGCUCAACUCCGGGGCUGCAGGUGAGACUGCGUGGCUAGAGCACGGUAGAGGCGAGUGGAAUUCCCGGUGUAGCGGUGGAAUGCGUAGAUAUC
rnacentral:rRNA from 1 species